ensembl:lncRNA
AUUCCCUCAAAGAGCUCUGCAGUAAGUGUUUGGCUAACCCUUCAAAACAUCUUCCUGUCAGUUAAAGAUCUGACCACACACAUGUGGGUCUCCUCCUGAGUGACACAGCCCUUCAGCAGAACAAGCCGAGAGCAGAACGAAUGCUUCUGUUGAUGCUUUUAAGAAAGAAAACUACCAAAGAUACUUCUAAAAACAAAGAGGUAUCUUUUUCUGCUCCUGAACACACACGCUCCUUUGAAUAGAAUACAGUUAUUUUGGAGUAAGAAUGCUGAUAAAGUGAAGUGUUAAACAUGUCGUAUGAUAAAGUUCACUAAAUUCCUGCAAGAAUUCGUCUGUUGGAGGGCCAAGCUGCACUGCACGGUACAGAAUUAAUCACUUGAGGAAUGAAUCCCAACAAGAUUACAGUACACUUGCAUGGGUUCCUAGAGGUAUUCAAUCAACACAGUGAGAACUCCCACAGAAGAUGUAACAAGGCUGGAAUUGGGAAAAUGGGGAAUGUUACACCUGCGUGCCCUAGUGGAAGAACAACACUGACAUGCCUCCUCCUCCACUCUUCCCACAAGCAGGUAUGUCAUUAGUACAUAUGCACCCCGACAGUAGGAGUAGGAGUUAGUCUUGCUGAGACUGAGAACCAAUCUGCAACCUCUUAAUAGAAAACAAUUCUGACAAGAAGAAAAUGAAGACUGACUGAUGAACCAGACAAAACCUGUCUAAACACAGGGCUUGCAGUCUGUAAAUUCCGGCUUUCAUAUCAGAUCCCACGAAGUGUUAAGUCAAUUAAAGGGUAGGAGGUCGAAAAUCUACAGGCAAUUAAAGCCUACAAAGACUUUAUUCUGCAUUCUGUCUGUAGUAAGUGAGUGUAUGUUCUUCCUCCAUGGCAAGUACAUGGUAAAAUACACUGGCCAAAAUAAAGAUGGUGAACAGCACUGAAACAUUUUGCUUCGAUAAGAUAUGCUGGUAAGGCAGAGCUCCAGCAAAAACCUCAUCUGACAAGUGGUUAUUUGUCAAACUGAAAUUGUGGUGCUUUUCUGCAAUAACUUUCUAGAGUUGAAAGUGAGACAGGGCCAGUCAAGGGAAUACCAUUUAAUUAAUGCACCAUCACAAGUUUUGCAAUUUCUUCCAGUAAAUGGAGGUGGAUGGUUCUGAUUUUUAAGUAGUGACCCCGUAAUACAAAGCAUUUGUUAUAAUUAUCAAUUAUUGGCUCUGUUCCUUGGGUAUUUCCAUGGAUGAGCAUAUAUAUUUGAACAAUUACUAAUUAAAAAAAUAAUUAUUUCAAAUGGUCUAAAUAAUCCUAAUGAAGACCAUCAGAACUGAUUAAGUCCUGCAAAGGUGAACGCAGAAGAGUGCAACUCAGCAGCAGGAAACUGAAUUUUUUCACAGAAUUUAUGUUGGAAAAAGACAGCGCAGAGAAACUGAAAACAAUAGUUAGCACGUGCCUAACUGAUGGAGAAGUUAUUGAUAUUUAUGGGGAUAUAAAUCUUUUUAGUAACAUUCCUUAUAAAUCCUUCAGGAUUCCUGAUUCCAUUACAGAUUUUCUGGAAAUUGAUUUUGCCUGGUCUCUCAAGGAGAAAAUUCAAUAAUCAAGUCCCUCAGGCAAAUAAAAUAUUGUUUGUCAGCCUCUCAGCUUAUAAGUGAAUGGCCGUCUGCCUUUCAAACAGUUUAUUUACUUGAUGGGUGCACCUCUAUCACUAAUGGAUGAAGAGCAGCCAAUUGAGACAUCCACAGUAACUACAAAGCAUAGGCAAAUUUCAGUAAUAUAAACAGUGUGUGCUGCAGCUGUGUUUUCCUGUUUUAAAUUCCAAAAAUGUGACCAGAUCCAACUGAGAAAAAGAAUAGAAUCAUAACUGCCAGGAAUGCCACAGCAAGAGACAGGAUGCAUGCUUCAUUUUCACAAGGAAAACUGCAGGUUGCUACUCUAAAUUUGUGGCACUUGCACAGUAAUAGUUCAGUUUUGAGGAUUACCUGUAUAAAAGGCACAGUCAGCAAAACACAACACAUUAGAACUCCUGAAAGAUGUCUAAAAUAAGGUUACUUCGAAGAGUGUCACAGGUAGUUCCUACCCCAUACAGCACAGUUGGUUUAAGACAUUUGCAGGCGAAAACUUAUGAGAGAAUUAACCUCAGCUGACUUACUCAAAUAAUCAUAAAUAUCACAGAAGAUGCUCAAAUACAUGUGAUACCGCUAAGACAUACCUGAAAAAAAAACUCACAUUGCCUGAGUAUUUGCAGGGACGCAUUGCAGUAUUCAGAUAACUGAUGGGCCCACACCACAGCAAGUCACUGCAGCCACCAUGCACUCCUCUGUAGGUUUCUCAGCCCAGUGGUGCCCCAAGUCAAUCCCCCACACCACAACACACUUGGGCAGCUGUUAUGAAAAUAUCAUGGCACAGCAGCCAGCUGAGCUCAGCUAAUCUCAAAUUUUACAUCUGUACAUAGAUAGAGAUAUGGGCCUGAGAUGAACUCUCUGGCAGUUAAGGGCUCUCAGGACUUUUCUCCCAGCCAGCAUGAGUUCUGAGGUCUCAGUAGCUUUUAGGAGAUCACUAAGGGCUUGCCCUUCAAAUUGAUGCUGAGCUCCUUGUAUGGUCUUCUUCUGGAUGCUUGGUUAAAAAAACAUGGCCAGCACUAACUGUUAAAGAACAUGCCUUGUGAAGCUGUUCUGGCUCACAAAUGCUGCGGAACAUACAGAAGAACACGUAGAUUAACACUUUCUGAUGUUUUACAAUGUUCCAACUUUUCAAUAUUGUAAAAUUUGAAGAGCUGAAGAUCAGACUUUUUUAACUUUUUCAAUGAGUUUGCACUUAUAUGAUGUUAAAGCAAAACAGCUUUCAGGCAGUGAAGAGGCUUUACUAAGGAUUUUAAGUAAAUACAUAGAAUCUCUAGCUUAAGGUAGGUGCUCCAUUUCCCUCACCACAGCUGUGAGAAAUUAUAACAACGGGCAAGCUCUGGUGGAAGCUGGAAAGGUAUUCCUUGGGCACGAAUCUGAAGGGUUACUAAAAUAAAUAUCACAUUGCGCAAAAAAAGCUGAAAACCCAAAGGUAAGCUAGCUUUGUUAAGCUGCCAAGCCCCCCAUUGCAACUGCCCUCUGCUCUGCUGGGUGUUGUGGGCAUGACUUGGAAGUAGCUGUGUGAAGGUGGCAGCUGGACCUCAGCCUUCUCUCGUUCCUUGUGGCACCUCAGUUGCUCCGUCUGUGCAAUGGGACAACUAGUACUUUUCACUGCAGUCUUCUGCCACCUACAAAAGCAAAAAGGAGGCGUGCUUUUCUCUCAGCACAGGCAGGUGUUAUAAAUGUCACUGGUUGUGUAUUUUCAUUCAAAUCUAAGUGUAAAUUAUUUCUUGAAGCUGAGGAUCGGGAUGAAGGGCAGUAAAUCAAUCCGUGGUACGUUAACUUCGUGCUUGCUUACAAAACUCAAGCUGUCGUUUGCCUAUCUGACAGUUUAUGAAUGACUGGCCAAGGAGCCUUGCAAAUAGUUUCCUCAGUCAGUGAAGCAGUAAAUAACAGCAAACAGUGGUGACACUGUAAAUAAAAGCAAGGCUGUUCCGUUAAGAGGCUGCUUUUUUAGGAAAAAACAAAACAAAACAAAACUUGUGGCUCACAGCACGUACUCUUCCAUGUCCCUGUUGGUUUCCAUACUUAGUUGAGGGGGAAAAAAAGUGCAGUUUUCUUUCUUUGGGCUCCCAUGCCAAGCUUUGAACCAGGUAAGCUGAAAUCACAGCCGCAUUACCACAGUUCAGGACAGCAGAUUUCUGGCACUCAUGAGUGAUAGCAGAAUUGGAUCUGUGAAAGAAGUAAGCCUGGAAUGUGUUUCAAAACAGGAGAAUUUGGGUCCAUUUUAGGGAGUUAAGACCCUUGCUUAAAAUGUUUGGAGAUGAUGGGUUUUAAAGAGGUUUCCUAGAUGAAAGGAAAAUAGCCAGGCUUGAGAGUGAGUGGUGUGCAUCUAUAAUAACUAUGCAGGAGCAAAUGUCAACACCACUACAGUGUGAAACCAGGAGUAAAAAGUCCAUGAAAUCAACAAACUGAUUGAGGCGUGAACCUAAAAGCUGCUUCGCACCCAUGAGUACCCUGAAGUUAGGGUAAAAUGAGUGGUCUUUUCAGAUCCAGUCCUGUAAAAACACUUUGGGUGCAGUGCAGUAUUAAGUCAAAGUGGUUAAUUCUGCUGAAUCACUGCAAGGUUCAGAUCAUUACCUUUGAAGGUAAACAAAAAGGUCUUUUUUCCUACUGAACUAACAUCUAGAAUAUAAGAUCCACCAAAAGGCAGAAAAUAUGAUACUGCAUACGAUGUUAUAUAUUACAAAAAAAUAGUAAAAAUAAUCUGUUUCUAUUUGUAAAAAGUCCAUAAUUUCCACAUACAAAUAAACAAAAAGGAUAUAAAAGGAAA